CCGACCCGCCCGGCGGCCCGUAUAGGGCCGGGCUGGGCUUCAAUGUUCAAGGCCCGCUGAAAUUUUGGGCCGGCCCGACCCGGCCCAAAAAAUUGCCUAGGCCCGCUGGGUUGGGCCAGGCCGGCCCAGCCCGCAAGGUUUGACAACUCUACCGACUGGUGUUGCUACUGAUGGGCGCACAUGGGUGCAUCUUCAUGGCAGUGUUUUGAGGCCGAGUGGACCUAUUCGGGCUAGGGCUACUGAUAGCUUUCAAGGUAUGCCACAUGAAAGUGGCACGAAUUGGAAGAAUUUGACUGAGGCGAUGAAGGACGUGUACUUCGAAGAAUUUGAGAAAGCAUUUUAUUGGCAAGAAGAUAAAUAUACCAGGCAGCAAAUUAAGAAGGCGUGGAUCUCAGAGGCUCGAGUGGCAUCUAAGGAUUACAUUUGUGCAUGUAAGAAAACCCUCCUAGUGCACAAGAAGAAGAUUGAUUAUCCCAAUCCUAUUGUUGAGGCUGCUUGGAGGGCUUAUUGGGCAUUGCUCAGGCAAGGUUUGCACAGGCGUCCAGGAAUCGUCGUUCUGAGCCUUGCGGUGUGGGUACAGGGAUAGCUAUCCAUCAUGGGGGGUCGCGUAGCGCUCUUGAUCAUACUGAGCAUCUGGCUCAGGAGAGCAAUAUCCCUUUUGACGCGGCGUCUUGGGCUACCUUUCGACGUAUCCAUUAUAAGAAUGGACAGUAUACCGCCGGCCGACCUGCGCAGCACGGGUUGGAGGUCGAGAGGCGAGUGGCAGAGCUGCGUGAGAUACAGGGAGAGGUGACAUCCGCCGACGUGGAUCGCAUCUUCUGAGAGGUAGUCACUCCUGAUCCGAAGGGGCGCAUCAUAGGAUUAGGUAUGAUGAUGUCGAAGGCGCUUACUUCAGGUGGCGGCGAGUCGAGCACCUCCACCAGCACCUCCCACUUCGAUGCUCCUUCAAAGGCUGAGUUUACCACUUUGAGGGAGGAUAUUGACACCACAGCAAGGGCUCUGACCACAGCAGUGCAGGAGAUAGAGGCCAGGAGACAGAGAGAGGAGGAGCAGGCCAGGACUAUACAGGAGAUGCAGUCCCAGAUCGCGUUGGUCAUGCGAGGAUUUCGACCAUCCACCCCCUCUAAUGAGACUCACCCGGACCUUUGAUUAUGCUGACUAUGUUUUGAUGUAGAUUUUUAUGCUUUGAAUACUGAAUUUCUGUUUUUGUUGAUAUUUUUUAGGAUUUUCUACUUUGU